GACGAACGCUGGCGGCGUGCCUAAUACAUGCAAGUAGAACGCUGAAGAGAGGAGCUUACUCUUCUUGGAUGAGUUGCGAACGGGUGAGUAACGCGUAGGUAACCUGCCUUGUAGCGGGGGAUAACUAUUGGAAACGAUAGCUAAUACCGCAUAACAAUGGAUGACACAUGUCAUUUAUUUGAAAGGGGCAAUUGCUCCACUACAAGAUGGACCUGCGUUGUAUUAGCUAGUAGGUGAGGUAAUGGCUCACCUAGGCGACGAUACAUAGCCGACCUGAGAGGGUGAUCGGCCACACUGGGACUGAGACACGGCCCAGACUCCUACGGGAGGCAGCAGUAGGGAAUCUUCGGCAAGGGGGGCAACCCUGACCGAGCAACGCCGCGUGAGUGAAGAAGGUUGUCGGAUCGUAAAGCUCUGUUGUAAGUCAAGAACGGGUGUGAGAGUGGAAAGUUCACACUGUGACGGUAGCUUACCAGAAAGGGACGGCUAACUACGUG
rnacentral:rRNA from 1 species